GCGAACGGGUGAGUAACAUAUCGGAACAUAUCCUAUCGUGGGGGAUAACUAGUCGAAAGACUAGCUAAUACCGCAUACGUCCUGAGGGAGAAAGCGGGGGCUCGCAAGACCUCGCGCGAUUGGAGUGGCCGAUAUCUGAUUAGCUAGAUGGUGAGGUAAAAGCUCACCAUGGCGACGAUCAGUAGCUGGUCUGAGAGGAUGAUCAGCCACACUGGGACUGAGACACGGCCCAGACUCCUACGGGAGGCAGCAGUGGGGAAUUUUGGACAAUGGGCGAAAGCCUGAUCCAGCCAUUCCGCGUGAGUGAAGAAGGCCUUCGGGUUGUAAAGCUCUUUCGGCAGGAACGAAACGGUGGGUUCUAAUACAGCCUAUUAAUGACGGUACCUGAAGAAGAAGCACCGGCUAACUACGUGCCAGCAGCCGCGGUAAUACGUAGGGUGCGAGCGUUAAUCGGAAUUACUGGGCGUAAAGCGUGCGCAGGCGGUGACUCAAGUCAGAUGUGAAAUCCCCGGGCUUAACCUGGGAACUGCAUUUGAAACUAGGUCGCUAGAGUGUAGCAGAGGGGGGGUAGAAUUCCACGUGUAGCAGUGAAAUGCGUAGAGAUGUGGAGGAAUACCGAUGGCGAAGGCAGCCCCCUGGGUUAACACCGACGCUCAUGCACGAAAGCGUGGGGAGCAACAGGAUUAGAUACCCU
rnacentral:rRNA from 1 species